CCACGCAGAAGAAUACCAUGAUUCCAGUACAACAUUUUUUUCUCCAGUACAACUCUUUCCAGUACAACAACCACUCUUCCUUCUGCUAAUGAGAUUUGGCUCCCCCAAGAAAUGAAAUCAUCAGAGAGAUGUCUAAUGUCUUUAUGAGUUAUAACCUUUCCACUUCCAACUUUGAGAAUUAUUUUAUUUGAUUGAUUGGUAUAAUUAGGCUGUCUAGUGAAGCGGUGGCAAUUCCUUGUGCUGCUAAGCAGGAACGAACUCCAUGCUGAACUCUCACAGCCUGGGAUGGCCAACAAUGGGCUUGCCAUAGAGAAGAUGAGCUUGACCUCUGGGGAAGGUGGUGGACUCAAAAAGCAGACCUGCUUACAGUGAGCAGAAAGCAGCUGCUCAUGCGUCUUCAAUAGCUGGACACAAACUUGUAUUUCAUAAGGUCCAAUGUAAAGGAAACAGUGGUGAAGCAAGAUACUUCAUGAAUACAGAGACAGAAGAACAGACGGGAAGGUAAUUCUUCAGAAUUCCAAACUCUUGGCUUCUGUCUUAUCUCAAUGUAUAGAAUAUCUGUAGAUAUAAAAACAUAUUUUAAAACAAUAUUGACUUCAAUUAUCUUCCAGCCCAAGGGACUUGGGCUGGAAUAUUCCUUCUGUCAUAUUCCAACACUUCAGACACAUCCUUCACAUUAAGUUCUGUUUGGGUUAGGAGCUCUAAUGAGACAGCUAAGAAGCAAGAGAAUUAUCUUUAAAAGAUGUUAAAAAAUUAUAGCCAAAACGAUAAUGAUGCACCCCUCUACCAAUAAAAUAUUUGACUGUAUCUUAUUUUAUAUAGUUACACAGAUACAUAAAAGUUAGACUAAUAAAUCUAGAUUAGAACCUAAACCUUCAUAUCAGUGUCUUCAUGAAAAAUUUACAUGUUCAUUCAUGUUUAAUAUUGGUCUUCACUCUGUUAUAUGGGUUUUUCCUCUCCUUGCUAGAGAUUACAACAUUCAUGUAUACACAAUGAUGACAUAUUUUCUUAUAUGAUCUGAGAAAUUAAAAUAAUUCUAAAUCUUCAUAUAAAAACAGAAUAAAUAAUGUUUCCUUGAGGGGAAAAAUAAAUCAUAACUUCUGUUACUUUUAUUUUGCUUUGUAUGUCAUUUGAUAUUUUCUUUCAAUUGUUCUUAAUUUCACUACUCUUAAUUUUUGUGAUUAAAAACCAUUACACUGACAAAUCAGAGAUAUUUGUUUGUUCAGGUAAUCCCUAGCUGGUAAACACUAGCUGCAAUACUUGAUGCACCAACCCAAUAAAAAAAAAAAAAUCAAGUCAAAAAAUUGGAAGUUAAAACAGAGGCAGAUGUGAGUCUUGGAAACUAAAUUGUCU